UACGUAGGGUGCGAGCGUUUAAUCGGAAUUACUGGGCGUAAAGCGUGCGCAGGCGGUUGUGCAAGACAGGUGUGAAAUCCCCGGGCUUAACCUGGGAACUGCACUUGUGACUGCAUAGCUGGAGUGCGGCAGAGGGGGAUGGAAUUCCGCGUGUAGCAGUGAAAUGCGUAGAUAUGCGGAGGAACACCGAUGGCGAAGGCAAUCCCCUGGGCCUGCACUGACGCUCAUGCACGAAAGCGUGGGGAGCAAACAGG
rnacentral:rRNA from 1 species